rnacentral:rRNA from 1 species
AAUGAACGUUGGCGGCGUGGAUUAGGCAUGCAAGUCGAGCGGACCAGCAAUGGUUAGCGGCGAAAGGGACAGUAAUGUGCAGUUACGUACCCUGGGGUCCGGGAUAGCUGCGGGAAACUGCAGGUAAUACCGGAUGAUAUCUUCGGAUCAAAGGUGUGAUUCCGCCCUAGGAUCGGACUGCAUCCUAUUAGGUAGUUGGUGAGGUAACGGCUCACCAAGCCACUGAUGGGUAGCGGGUGUGAGAGCACGACCCGCGUCAUUGGGACUGAGACACUGCCCAGACACCUACGGGUGGCUGCAGUCGAGGAUCUUCGGCAAUGGGCGCAAGCCUGACCGAGCGACGCCGCGUGUGGGAUGAAGGCCUUCGGGUUGUAAACCACUGUCGUAGGGGAGGAAGGCCGGGUGAAGAGCCCGGUUUGACCUAGCCUAGGAGGAAGGGUGGGCUAAGUUCGUGCCAGCAGCCGCCGUAAAAC